GGGGAAUUUUCCGCAAUGGGCGAAAGCCUGACGGAGCAACGCCGCGUGAGGGAGGAAGGUCUUUGGAUUGUAAACCUCUUUUCUCAAGGAAGAAGUUCUGACGGUACUUGAGGAAUAAGCAUCGGCUAACUCCGUGCCAGCAGCCGCGGUAAUACGGAGGAUGCAAGCGUUAUCCGGAAUCAUUGGGCGUAAAGCGUCCGCAGGUGGUGUGGUAAGUCAAGGGUCAAAGACAGAAGCUCAACUUCUGAAGGGCCCUUGAAACUGCCAGACUAGAGGCAGGUAGGGGUAGCAGGAAUUCCCAGUGUAGCGGUGAAAUGCGUAGAGAUUGGGAAGAACAUCGGUGGCGAAAGCGUGCUACUGGGCUUAGCCUGACACUGAGGGACGAAAGCUAGGGGAGCGAAUGGGAUUAGAUACCCCUGUAGUC
rnacentral:rRNA from 1 species